rnacentral:misc_RNA from 1 species
AAGCCAAAAAUCUCCACAAGAGGGCGUCUAUACAAAAUUUACAGAAGGCAGAUCGAUUAUUGCAAAAGUUCUUAUUGCGAUCUAAACAUUGAAUGAAAGCGGUAAACGAAAAUGAAUCUUAGGCUGUAACAGAGAGGCUGUCCAGCAUGUUCGCAGUACGAAUCGUCACAACAGACCACUACCAGGGCCCCCCCAUCCCCGGCCUAGAUGUCCAGUAUGCCGAUUUUAGGGCCUCAGUCGUGAAGAAAGUUCCGGUCAUCCGAGUGUUUGGCUCCACUCCACAAGGUCAGAAGACAUGCAUGCAUGUGCAUGGGGUGUUUCCGUACUUGUAUGUGCUGUAUGAUGGAACCCAGCCCUGGGACAGAUACUUACGUCUUUUUGCCAACAGUCUGGAUAAAGCCAUCAACGUAGCCCAGGGCAAUGCCUCCGCGGAGACGCAGCACGUGUACAAAAUCAACAUGGUCUCCGGAAUACCGAUGUAUGGGUUUUAUGAAAGAGAACAGCAAUUUCUGAAAAUCUACUUCUACAAUCCCAACAUCAUCCGAAGAGCUGCUGAUUUAUUGUUGGGGGGAGCUGUGUUAAACAAAGGAUUUCAGCCCCACGAGUCUCACAUACCUUACACCCUACAGAUGUUCAUCGACUACAACUUGUAUGGGAUGAACAUGUUGAAUGUGGCAGCUGUCAAGUUCAGGAGGAAAGCCCAGGAUGAGAAUGCUAACCCCAAUGACCAAGAGUCGCUCCAUCAGUCUGACCCGACCACCCCUACUUCUCCAGAUGGAUCGCUCCAGGACUGGCUCAAUAACGCAUCUCUGUCCCCGAGUCAGCCUCUCUGGAACUCAGACACCAUCUCCAGGGACAUGUACCUGGGGUCAGACGUUCUCCGACAGAGCACGUGUGAACUGGAAGUAGAUGUGGUGGCUGCGGACAUCCUCAAUCGACAGGAAGUAGAUGCUAAUGUUGGAAACAAUCCUGGUCUGGCCGCGCUGUGGGAGGAUGAGCGACAGAGGAAGAGGAAUGUGGGUCAAUCCUCCCAGAUCACCCCGCCCGCCUCCCAGGAGCGGGUUUCCGUGGAGAUAAGUGACAGUGAUCAAGCACUCUCAGACCGCUUCAGGGAAAUAGUCCUCAGUCAGCUCCCUUACCUAGACAGCCAAUCAGAUUCCAUAUCUGAAUCAUCCCAAGAGGACAUAAUUCCUUCCCAGGCAGCAUCUAGUGUGGAUUUACACUCAACACAAAACGAAGACGUGGAGGACGUGGAGGCCUCACAGAGCACUGUGAUCCUGGAGGAGGAGGAAGAAGAAGACAGGGCGGCCAUUGUGAACAUGGACUCCAUCCACAGAGUAGUCUCCAUGAGUCAGCACUUCUCAGCAACACCUCUAUCCCAGCAAUCAGAUGAGCCCCAGGACCGGUCUCUGGCGGCACUGCUGGCUUCACUGGCCGACGACAGCUCUCCCCCUGCAACCCAGGCCGCUGCCGGUGAAGUCACCACGCUAGAGGAGAAGGAUAGCAUCCUCCUGGACGCCGCUGUUGUCCCUGACGAUGAGACCACAGAAAAAGACGAGGCAGAAACUCUAGAAAUGUCACAGGUUGUUUGGGAAGAUGGAAGUCAGGACAGUGGGGAAGGCAGAGAGAGGAAGUGUGAGGAGUUUGACCUGGAGGGUCUGGAUACCACCUGGAAUGACUCGCAGGCGGUGCCAGUCAGUGAUGAGGAGGGGGACACGAUUCCUCAGUUUGAUGGCGCCAACGACGAGAAACCGCAGCCAGCCAAGAAGAGCAAGAAGAAGCGCCUGGGUACCACAGGACCGGUGGUGUCAGGGUUUGACAAAACUCCUCCCUCAGUGGGUCUGAUCUCACAGAGUGGUCCAUUCAGUCCAGAGUUCAGUAACCCACCCCAGGGGCUGUAUGGACCCAACAGUAACCAGUACCCCAGUGGAAACCAGUAUGACUUCCAAGGUCAGGGCUAUGGCAUGGAGUUUGGGGCAUACUCUUACAGUCAGUGGAACCCCCAGGGAAGUUAUGGUGCAGAUCUCCAACAAGGAUUUGGAAUGCAGACCUGGGGCCAGCAGACCCCCUGGAACUCCUCUAAUCCAAGCACGCAGCAGCAGUGUCCUCCAGAAGGUCAAGGUCUUCCUUCACCUCAAGGUCAGCUACAGCCAAGGUUACAGGGCUCACACAGAAAUCUUCCACAGUCACAGAACAUGUCGAAUUCUCCACGCAGUCAGCACUCACCCCAGGGAUUACAGUCUCCACACGGUUUAACGUCUCCACACGGUUUAACGUCUCCACACAGCUUAUCUUCACCGCAGGGCUUACCAUCACCGCAUGGGAACACCCAGGGCAGUGCACAGUCGCAAAAUACAAGUGUCAACUCCCCGGUUCCUUUAAAUAUCGGAGCUCCUAUGUCGACCUUAAGCAGUAGGACAAGGGUUCAAGGUCACGGUCAGAAUCUGGGACAGGGGUAUCCCCCCUCAGUAAUGGAGAGCAGGGACUCCUUCAGUGCUCUGAUGAACGAUGAAACUUUAUCCAAUAAUCUGUGGAACUUCUCAGAAUUUGGUGGAAUUAGUGAUUCCGAUGGAAUGCUCUCUCAGGGGGAGGGCAGUAUGGGUGGACAGAUUGGAACAGUGGAAAAAGCAAUGAACAGAUGUACUACCCAACAGAACCAGCCAAACUUCCUGUCUCAGGGCAGCCAGAGCAUGACCUCCUCUCAAGGUCAUCUCACUCAGUUUUCCCUCGGGUCAGCCAGGGAUGACAUCAACCCCAGUGGGGGGUUCUCAGAACAGCCAGGAGAGCAAGACUCAACAGGGUGUGAAUUCUAACUGCCAACAAAUUUUUCCAAGACUUGCUAUUCAACCAAGCAGCCAAUCUUUCUCCAAUUCUCAGAGUGGUACCUCUCAGGGUCAUUACCCAGAAUUCAGCGGUUAUUCUCAGCAGGAAGGAUUUUCUCAGCACAACUAUUCAAACACUUUCUCAUCUUCAUAUUCAAAGUAUUCUUCGCAGACUAGUCCAAAGAACAGUACACUUUCUGUAAAUGAAUGUGGUUUAACCUCCACUCCAUUAGAUACCAGCCAGGACAGUGCGAUGUCCAACAGGAGUUAUAGUGCUCAAGAAGCUUUAAGCAGUAAAAGUCGACUAAGUGCUGAACCCAGGGACUUUAACACCCAGCAGUAUCACAUGCCUAGUGGGGGGAAUUUCAGUGGAGACUCCGAUGGAAGUCAGCAGAACUCCAGUUUUUCUAGUCAUGCCUCCUCUCAGUUUUCUAAUUCCCAGCCUCUCUAUCAAUCCGGAUCCCUAUCUCACGUCUCGGACUCACAGAGAAGUGAUAAUGCCAGCUCCUCCUUCUCGCCUCACUCUCACUCAUACAAGGGACCUCAGCCCAGCGGCCAUGUUAUAACUCACAACCAAACCUCUCCACCCCUCACUGGGGGCCACACAUGUCUACUAUCAAUGACAACCCCACCACCACUGUCAAGAAAAGGAGCUCCAAAAAGAAAGAGAAUGGUGGUACAACGACAGCCACAACCAAAAAGAAAGCCACCCCC